rnacentral:lncRNA from 1 species
GUUCAUCAGCACCAUCUAUCACCACAGCCAAAAAGGUCUCAGUGCCUAUUCCUGCUCCCUGAGCCCUGACCCAGCCCUGGCUUUCCAGCCAGCUGCAACCCUUUCGUCCACCCCACCGUCUCGUGCUUUGCCUCUCCAGAUCCUCCAGCCAAGAUCCAUCUUCAGAUCAGGCAUCCAAGUCAGAUGGAGGAGGCCAGGCCUUGGCUGUGUAAUCCAGGAGCUCCAAUCUCAGCUGUUUGCUCCCCUCUUGGGAAAGAUAUAUUUGUGUCUAUGAAGACCCCAAGUGCUACCCACGAGGGCAGAACAGAUCCAAGGAAGGGGCAUGUUCCACAGGAGGUAUCAGCCUUAUGAACUACAGUAUCAUCACAUUUAUAAACAGAAACCAGGAAAUCAUGUCCAGGGACCAGCGUACUCAUGUGCAUGUGUUCCAGAAAUUCAAGUGUGAGGGGGGACCAUCUUUCCAAGGAUGGACUCCAUUCAAGUCCUUCAUUCUUACCCCCAACAAAUCCACUGAGAAUAAUUCCAUCUGGAGAGAGAGAGAGAGCUAAGCACAGGAGUCCCUUUCUUCUUUCCAACCAACCAGGACCUCGAGGGAUGCCUGUUCUCUGCCAUCCCCCACCUGAGUUUGGGGACCUCAGACAGGGGCCUGAGCUGGUAUGAGCUUUGGCAUAAGUCACAGAGAUUUAAUACCAUAUAUCCAGCGUCUGGUCUUUCAGAAUGACAUUUUCAUUAGAGUGGAA